rnacentral:lncRNA from 11 species
CAAAUAGGAAGAAGAUGGAGAGGAAAUGUUCUUCAGCUAGCUGUAUUUCUUGUGUUCAACUCUGCAGGAAAUCCUGGCAAAAUUUCAAUUGCUCUGUUCUUAGAGAGCCCAUCACCUUAUUGCAGUGAGUGCCCAACACAACAUGUUUGGUCCAGACUCCUUCUUCCUUGAGGGUUCCUAUAACAGAAAUGCCAGGCUCUGGACAUCGGAAGCGAAAUUUUUGAGCACCUUUGGGCAGGAAAACAGGUGGCACUCGAAAAAGUCCUCACCAGGAACCUACUCUACCCCAUGGAAUCAUAUCCAAGGUGAAAGGAAAGAUAAUAAAAAGAAGAGGGUGUCAACCAAGCAGUCGUUAUUUGGGGAUGGCCAACUCUUCAAUCCCAGUGAACCCCUCAGAUAUACAGAGCAAGAAGCUGUUGAGACCUCAAAACAGGCGAGCAGUCACAGAGGAAGUGCCAAGAACAGCGAGAGGGAGCCUAAGCAUCCACGAGAACCUCAGUUACCCAGAAUUGAUCAGCCUCAACAGAGACCUCGCAGUCAGGCUCCUUCUGAGGACACAGUGCAAAAUCGGGUGACAACCCCAUACCUGAGCAGUGUCCUAAACCAAAGAAAGUACGAGAGCAUUUUCAAACGCAAUCUUGAAGAAGGACUCCUGAAAAGAAUAGCAAGACGAAAAGUCCGUCGGCGUGUGUUUGGAGAAAUUGAUGCCAAAAAGGUCAACCAGUUUGGGACUGCCUGCUCACCUUUUCGUGCCCUUGCAACUACAGAGAUGGAGACUUUCACUUUACCCAGCAACUUACCCAUGACAUCACGGAUGGUGAGCAGGGGACUGGUUUGCACAACAGAGUCCGACUUAAAAACAAUGAAACUCACCUUCCCAGAAGUAGAAGAAGAGAAUGCUGAAGAGACCAAGCCAAGUGACAAGAAGAAUGCCCUGGACCAGACCAAAAAGUCUAUGCUGCCUCCAUUGCUUCAUCCAACGAGAUCACGGCUCUCUGAAAAUAAGAAGACUUCAGGUUUCCGCCUUCCUUCUGUUCCCAUAGUAAAGGCAUCUACAUCAUUAAAGUGGGGAAAGUACUAAAGUCUUCUUAAGCAAGCCCAUGUGAUUUCCAAGUGCUGCAAUAUUGGGACCUGGCCAGCGACUACCAACUCUCAUUUACUCAGAAACUAUUCCACUUGGAUAUACAGUAUGAAUGUUUCAAGAAAAGAACAUUGAUAUAUAUUACAUUACAAGUGCAGAAAUGUCAAAAGUGACUGGCUGAAGCAAGUGACACAGGCCUCUUUGGUGGGCCAAACUGAAAAUGAAUUUAGUUGUAUACAGCACCAGAAUAAAGCAAGGCAGAUAUUUAUCAGGGGUGCUUAGCAUACUUUUAAGUUUGAAUGUAAAACUUUUGAAUGUAGUCAAGUAGUCAUACAGAACACAGGGAGAAAACUGAUUUUUAAAAAGCGAAUGUAUAUACUUGCUCAUUUUAUUUUUGAACUUGAAGACUUUUGAUUUUAGGAAGUAUUAAAAAUAUUGCUUUGUGAAAAGAACCUGAGUUUUAAUACAAGUUGAUAUAAAGUGUUUGAACUAUCUCAAGAAAUAUUUAUUCUAGCCAUUGUAUUUACUGUAUAUACUCGAGUAUAAUCCUAGUUUUUCAGCCCUUUUUUAGGGCUGAAAAAGCUCCCCUCGGCUUAUACUCGAGUGAGGGUCCUGGCCGGCUUCUAUUUAGGUCGGCUUAUACUUAAGUAUAAAGGUAUUCAGAGUUGGAC